CGCAUGAGCAAGAGGACAAUUACUGUCCUCCGUCAACACAGGACACAUCAGGCUUCCGUAAGGGACAAUUUAUUCGGGCAAAAAGGGACAAAGUCNCAGACCGAUCAUUGCAUCUGCAUACAAGACUUCAAGCAACACUUGGGCGUCCAAUGCCUGCUAGCUAAAUAAGCAAAGCAAGGGCGGAUGUCCAUGGAUGCUUCAGGGUCUAGGUCGCACAAAACAUUUUAGCACGAGUUCGAGCCGGGAUCAUGGGACUGGGGAAUUCCGUCAAAAUAGGUAUGCUGCACAAGGGGCCAAGCAAAUCCAAGGUAAUCGUAUCAACACUCGAACAAAAUUGAACAGGUGAGAACCAGUGAUUGUCGCUGCCAGGGCAGGGAACCAACCAACCGGAACAUACC
rnacentral:misc_RNA from 1 species